AUAUUGCUCUUUCCUGGAUCUAAAAACUCCCUAGUCCACCCAUUUGCCUACACACGUCCACACAUUUCACCUCGUCCCCAACCUCCUCCGGCGUCGUCAGAUCCGCCGGCGGGAGCCCCCUGCUACAGCGCCCCGACCCGGCUGCCCCUCCUCCUCGAAUCCUCCCCGCCGGGCCGCCCCUCCUCGACUCCUCCCCGCCCGGGCCGACCUCCAGUGCCGUGCAGCAGGACGCGCCCGGCAGCAGGACUCGACCGGCCGCCCGCCUGCCCGGCCCUCUCUUCCCUCCGCCCGGCAGCAGGAGGCACCCUCACGGCCGGCCCUCCCUUCUAUUUGCUGGUUACAACACUUCUGAAGUUAUUUCACUUGUUUACCAGAAAGAAAACAGAGUUAAACUGCUGAUUGUCAAGGUAAUGAACAGUACUGUAUGCUUGAUGCCGUUUAAUAUUUGACCGAUUUCAUUAUUUUGCUGUUGCUUUUAGCUCUUUCUUUCUUUUACAUAUGCAGUCGCACAGUGAUAAGAUGGUCCGUCUUGUCAUAGCUGGUGAUGGUUUUACACCAUACUAGUUGAAUGCUGCUCCAUAUACUUGCUGACCUGUUUUUGUAGCUCUAUUAAACCUUCCACCUGGUAUUCUCUUGAAACCAGAGUAUAUAUUCCUUAGCCUUGUUAUCCCUGGUCCUGAACAUCUUGGUAAAAUUUGAGUGUCCUAAUGCAACCUUUAGCUGAUGAACUGAUGCAAUUGUGGGCGGGGGCUGAAACAUGGGAUGCUUAUCACAAGGUAAACUUCCCAAUGAAAGCGGCAUUUCUAUGGUCAGUCCACGACUUUCCUGCCUUUGGUAUGUUUGCUGGGUGGAGCACCCAUGGCAAGCUAGCAUGCCCUGAAUGCAUGAGUGAUUCCAAAGCAUUUACUCUUCAAUACGGGUGGAUUGUCAUAAGCUAGCAUGCCUUUGGCAUCUACUCUUCAAUACGGCCGACUGACAGGAAAAAGCGAAUUUCCCUAUCAAGCUAUCCCUGUCGUCUUUCCCUGAAGGGUGACCGACAGGAAAUACUUUCCCUGUCGGGUUCCCCCCUUUUCCUGUCUGUUUGCAGCCCACAGAAAUAUUUCAGAUUCUGGUAGUGUUCAUCUUGGAAAUAAAAAUGUUUUACCUUGUCAUAGUUGCAUACCUUAGUUGGCACUGUUUUGCCUCUUGAAAUUAUACUAGCUGAACUAAAAGGAACAUUCGUAGAAAGAAAUGCUUGUGCACGAACAAAUGACUUAGCACACACUCUUGUGGUCCUCACAUACCAUAUGCACUCUUCAACUUCAGCCACUAUGAGGUUCAACGCCUCGCUUGUGUCCACCGUCCUUUCUGCAGUGUCCUCUCUACCUCUUCAAGAUAUUGUUUUCAUAUGCCUGGUCUUUCUCUUUAGUUCUGAUGACUUUUGUUAGAAUAGUUUGCAAACCCUAACAUAAACCUUUAGUCCCAAAUUAAUAUAUGAAGGAAAAAAAUAUAGUAUGGAUAGUCCCGAAGAAUAAGUUAUAUGUUUCCACACAGCAUGUUAACAAAACGGAAAUGACAAAUCCUGAACGUUCAGGAUUUUACCAUGGCAAAUCGAACGUUUUCGAUGGCAGUUUUAGUGACGCGAGGAUGGCAAGUUUAGUUGACACGCAAGACAAUUUUCUGGCAAAAAAAUACACUGAGCACGGAGUUGCCAUGCUUGCCAACUAAAAUUGACAUCCUCGUGUCACUAAAAUUGCCAUCGAAAACGUUUGAUUUGCCAUCGUCAAAUCCCAAACGUUCUGGCGUUAUCGGGAUCCUAACAGAACACCCCCUCAUCCCCUCCGCCCUCCCCUUUUCGCUACCACAAUCGACCUUAUUGUUGAAUAAGCUACCUUCCUAUGGCCUUCAGCAAAGGUUUCCGUCCAGUACUAUGAACAGAAUAAUGUUCUCUUGGGGAUGAAGAGUUGUCCCUUUACAAUGGAAAAGCAUGUUACUCCUCCAUCCCUAUUUCCAUGACCACUUGUUUUUCUUGAUUACAUUUAAGCACCGGUUCUGCCAAUAAUAUAUUAAUUAUAUGUCAUAACUGUUAAAACCUGCAUUUUAAUAUGAAUUAUAUUUCCCUUCAUUCGAACUCUAAAAAGGCCAUAUGAUAGCUUUACAAGAAGACACAUAGUUUCACAUCGCAUUAUAAGAAUGCCCUUUAACAAUGGGCAUGAAUCUUAUGUUAAAACAAGUUAGAGUCAACCAAAAGAAAAGAAACAAGUUAAAAUAUUCCUUUGCAGUCCAUUUCCUUCAAGAAACAUUUAAAUAUCCUCAAGAAAUGCAGAACCCCAGUAAUGUUUGAUACUCUACAACUUUUUGAAGCAACCUGAACCAAACACUGUUUCAUAGAUUAGUUUUAAUGAAACUAUUUCAUAAUCUAAAACAUGUACACAACAUGUCUGUUUCCCAUUCCUUGCGAGUAUUAUCACUUCCUAGGCUACAAGAACCAUACUCCAAACCGAAAGAUAUCAACAAAAAAUCACUAUCUUUUC